CAGUAGCCGCGGUAAUGCGUAGGUGGCAAGCGUUGUCCGGAAUUAUUGGGCGUAAAGGGCUCGCAGGCGGUUUCUUAAGUCUGAUGUGAAAGCCCCCGGCUCAACCGGGGAGGGUCAUUGGAAACUGGGAAACUUGAGUGCAGAAGAGGAGAGUGGAAUUCCACGUGUAGCGGUGAAAUGCGUAGAGAUGUGGAGGAACACCAGUGGCGAAGGCGACUCUCUGGUCUGUAACUGACGCUGAGGAGCGAAAGCGUGGGGAGCGAACAGGAUUAGAUACCCGCGUAGUCCCUGUCUCUUAUAC
rnacentral:rRNA from 1 species